UCCUCCAAAGAAGACAGAAGACAAAUGGGCACACAGAACAAUGUCCAUCAACAAUUCGUUUCAACUGUCAAGCACUGACCACUGGGAAAAACUGCCUUCCAUCUGAACUAAAGAUUAUCAGACAGUGGAAAGAAUCACUGGAAUCAAGAGCCUAGUUCCUCAGGUCAAGGUUCUGAGAAGAGAAGAUGGAUUCCACCAGGAAAAUCCCUGGCUCUGGAAAUAACCACAGGCAGCAGUUGCCUUUGGAGCGGAAGUCUGGAGAGGGUCCACUCAUCUCCAAAUACAGUCGGAUGGAACAGGAGUUUCAGAGCAAUCCCCCCAGCCCUGGCAACCUCAACAAGCUGGAUUUGAACAUGCACACCAAUAUGCUAAGUGUAAUCACUGUGCUGGGAAGUGAGGCCAGGAAAGGGAUCUAGUGGCCUGGGCUCAUCAUGGAGUGUGAGAUGACCUAUAGAUUUAAAUAGGGCAUGAAUUGGAACAGAGAUCAAGGGAUGUAUGUAAUUAAGCAGUGCCAGCAAAGAUGUAGUCAUUCCUAUCAGUGGCUCAGCUCUGGGCUCUCUAGGUGAAUGGAUAAAUUGUUAAUUUGUAAACGGAUGCGGAUGCCAUCGCCCAAGGGGACUAAACUGGUUCCUACAAGAUGAUCUCUGGGGCAUAGACUUCUCAUCAUAGAUAAUUGUUCUCAUUUUGUGGACGGCCUAUCCUGAAGGAUUGGCUGUUCCUGGACUCCAAGGUGACUGGGGUUUAAGUUAAUGACUUGUUUUUGUUCCUUCAGCCUUGAAUAAGGAUAAGGUAGACAGGGCCCUCCUCAGUGAUAAUCAGGCCUACAUGAAGUUAAGCCGGAAUCACAAGUCAGAAGCUCCAGGCAUUCAUAGUGUUUAGUUAAUUUAUGAGACCAAGUGAGGAAUCAAUGA